rnacentral:rRNA from 1 species
GAGUUUGAUCCUGGUUCAGGACGAACGCUGGCGGCGUGCCUAACACAUGCGAAGUCGAGCGAUGAAACCCCUUCGGGGGUGGAUUAGCGGCGGACGGGUGAGUAACACGUGGGUAACCUGCCUCAAAGUGGGGGAUAGCCUUCCGAAAGGAAGAUUAAUACCGCAUAAAGCCAAGUUUCACAUGGAAUUUGGAUGAAAGGAGUAAUUCGCUUUGAGAUGGACCCGCGGCGCAUUAGUUAGUUGGUGGGGUAAUGGCCUACCAAGACAGCGAUGCGUAGCCGACCUGAGAGGGUGAUCGGCCACAUUGGAACUGAGAUACGGUCCAGACUCCUACGGGAGGCAGCAGUGGGGAAUAUUGCACAAUGGGCGAAAGCCUGAUGCAGCAACGCCGCGUGAGUGAUGAAGGUCUUCGGAUUGUAAAGCUCUGUCUUUUGGGACGAUAAUGACGGUACCAAAGGAGGAAGCCACGGCUAACUACGUGCCAGCAGCCGCGGUAAUACGUAGGUGGCGAGCGUUGUCCGGAUUUACUGGGCGUAAAGGGUGCGUAGGCGGAUGUUUAAGUGAGAUGUGAAAUACCCGGGCUUAACUUGGGUGCUGCAUUUCAAACUGGAUAUCUAGAGUGCAG